rnacentral:rRNA from 1 species
UACGUAGGUGGCAAGCGUUAUCCGGAAUUAUUGGGCGUAAAGCGCGCGUAAGCGGUUUUUUUAGUCUGAUGUGAAAGCCCACGGCUCAACCGUGGAGGGUCAUUGGAAACUGGAAAACUUGAGUGCAGAAGAGGAAAGUGGAAUUCCAUGUGUAGCGGUGAAAUGCGCAGAGAUAUGGAGGAACACCAGUGGCGAAGGCGACUUUCUGGUCUGUAACUGACGCUGAUGUGCGAAAGCGUGGGGAUCAAACAGGAUUAGAAACCCUCGUAGUCC